GCUCAGACAGCUAGGAGGUUGGCUUAGAAGCAGCCACCCUUUAAAGAAAGCGUAAUAGCUCACUAGUCGAGUCGGCCUGCGCGGAAGAUGUACCGGGGCUUAAGCCAUAUACCGAAGCUAUGGAUGCCGUACUUUGUACGGCAUGGUAGAGGAGCGUUGUGUAAGUCUGUGAAGGUGAGUUGAGAAGCUUGCUGGAGAUAUCACAAGUGCGAAUGCUGACAUGAGUA
rnacentral:rRNA from 17 species